GCAUGAUUUUCCAUUCUACAGAUAAAAAAGAAUGAUUUAUGGUAACAAGAAACAAAGCAUAAAAGAAUUCCUUCAUUCCGUAGGCAUAGGUUCAGGUUUGACUCUAUCCGUCGUAUCAUGACGAGAACCCAUCAUCAUCAUCAUCCUAAACUCUUCAAAAUCAAUUGUUCCAUCACCGUCGCUAUCAACACCUCCGAUCAUUUUCCGGCACUCCGCCAACGAGCAUUCUUCCCCAAGGCUUCUCAUAACCGUAUUAAGCUCUUCCGCCGUAAUCGAACCAUUCCCAUCCAUAUCAAAAACAGCAAAAGCAUCCUUCAAAUUCUCCAAGAUCUCGUCGGAAUCAACGCCUUUGGUGUUGAGUUCGAUGAAUUCUUGUAAACUAAUGCAACCGUCGCCGUCUCCGUCGACUUCACGGAUCAUGUUGUUGAGUUCUUGUUCUGAUGUUUGUUGACCUAAGCUUCCCAUAAUGGAACCGAGUUCUGAUGCAGAGAUCUUGCCAUCGCCGUUGACGUCGAAUUUUUUGAAGACUUCUUCGAGUUCGCCGGCGAGACGGGUGCGUGAACGUACGGAGAGGGAGGUAGAUCGGGAAGGAGGGUCUGAAGAUGAAGAUGGCUUGUUGAACAUUGAUUUCAAACCCAUGGGCAUGACUUGUUUUUUCUUCUUCUUCUUCUUCUUUGUGAUGAAUGAACGAAUGAGAAAUUGGAAUUUGAAAGAAGAAUAACUAUUUGUUUAAUCAAAUGACGUAUUGAGUUUGUACUAACUAUUGUUUGUGUGUGAUUUGGCUAUAUUUAGAGAGCCAUUAAUUUAUUUUAGGCGUUGUUGCACCAUGCCAAUCGCUACUUCGUUAAAAAUUAG
rnacentral:lncRNA from 1 species